UGCUCCUGGAUUCAGCGGCGGACGGGUGAGUAAUGCCUAGGAAUCUGCCUGGUAGUGGGGGAUAACGUUCCGAAAGGAACGCUAAUACCGCAUACGUCCUACGGGAGAAAGCAGGGGACCUUCGGGCCUUGCGCUAUCAGAUGAGCCUAGGUCGGAUUAGCUAGUUGGUGAGGUAAUGGCUCACCAAGGCGACGAUCCGUAACUGGUCUGAGAGGAUGAUCAGUCACACUGGAACUGAGACACGGUCCAGACUCCUACGGGAGGCAGCAGUGGGGAAUAUUGGACAAUGGGCGAAAGCCUGAUCCAGCCAUGCCGCGUGUGUGAAGAAGGUCUUCGGAUUGUAAAGCACUUUAAGUUGGGAGGAAGGGCUGUAGGCUAAUAUCCUGCGGUUUUGACGUUACCAACAGAAUAAGCACCGGCUAACUUCGUGCCAGCAGCCGCGGUAAUACGAAGGGUGCAAGCGUUAAUCGGAAUUACUGGGCGUAAAGCGCGCGUAGGUGGUUCGUUAAGUUGGAUGUGAAAGCCCCGGGCUCAACCUGGGAACUGCAUCCAAAACUGGCGAGCUAGAGUACGGUAGAGGGUAGUGGAAUUUCCUGUGUAGCGGUGAAAUGCGUAGAUAUAGGAAGGAACACCAGUGGCGAAGGCGACUACCUGGACUGAUACUGACACUGAGGUGCGAAAGCGUGGGGAGCAAACAGGAUUAGAUACCCUGGUAGUCCACGCCGUAAACGAUGUCAACUAGCCGUUGGAAUCCUUGAGAUUUUAU
rnacentral:rRNA from 1 species